GACAAACGCUGGCGGCGUGCUUAACACAUGCAAGUCGAACGGUACUCCUACGGGAGUAUAGUGGCGGACGGGUGAGUAACACGUAGCUAAUCUACCCUGAUGUGGGGAAUAACCCCUCGAAAGAGGAGCUAAGACCGCAUAAGUUCUCUCUUGUUAGAGAGAGAAGAAACUUUGGCAGUAGAAAAGCCAGAGGCGUUAGGAUGAGGCUGCGGCGGAUUAGCUAGAUGGNGGGGUAAAAGCCUACCAUGGCGACGAUCCGUAGCUGGUCUGAGAGGACGACCAGCCACACUGGGACUGAGACACGGCCCAGACUCCUAGGGAGGCAGCAGUGAGGAAUAUUCCACAAGUGGGCGCAAGCCUGAUGGAGCGACGCCG
rnacentral:rRNA from 1 species